rnacentral:lncRNA from 1 species
CCUGAGUGCCCUGGCACAGUUAGGGAUGUGCUGAACAGCACCGUGCCUGUGGGAGCCCCCAGGUGCAGUGCUGUGCUCCGGCCCCCUUUCUCCUGAGCUCCCACAGCCUGCCUCUCCCUGUUUAACCGGGAUGUUAUCUGGAGAUGAGAGAGCGCUCGGGUCUGGAUCCCGGAACGGAGCAGCGUUCCACAGCAGCCCAGCCAAGGGGAAUGAAGCAAUAUUAAAGUGUGAUAUUUCAUUGCUCUGUAAUUAACUUCAGCUGCUUUCAAGCUGCAACAAAUUACCCUCAAAGCCCGUUUUUGUACCGAGGAGAACUUUGAACUGUGUUCGCAGCCAUUAUGCCUGGGAGGGAGGGGAGGCCGCUCCUGCUCUCUGUGGCUGCAGCUCCGUGUGUGGUUUGGGACCAGCCCUGGGCCGGCUGUGCCGGGCUGCCGUGUCAGCACAGGCAGGAGUGCUGGGGCUGGCAUUGACCCUGCCAGGGGCUGGCAUCAACCGUGCCAGGGACAGCCCGGGGCGUGGGAAACUACUGCGGCAUCCCAGGCUCCACCUGGAGGGUCUUCUCUGCUGGCAUGGAUCCUGCUGCACCCAAGGCUUUAGAUGCAGGCUGCCAUCCCAAGAUCUUCCCAAAACACUGUGGGCAAAUUAAUCCAGGGCAUGAAACUUCAGUCAGCUUGUUGGAGAGAAAAUUCAGCUUAGCUGCUAGAAGGCAGUAGCCUCCUUCAGCAAAGACCUGAUGAUCUGAUGGUUUUGGGGGAGCCACUGCUGCCCUUGAGGGGCUCAAAACACAGCUCUGUGUUUCCCAGCAGGACCCCUCCUGCUCCAGCUCCCUAAAUUCCUGAGAGAAUAUGCUUGUUUGUGUUUAGUUCCCAUCUCUCAUCUCUAGCAGGAUCCAUGUAGAUGGGCCUGGGCAGCCCAGGCCUGGGAAGGUGGCGCAGGCUCCCACCACGCAUGGCCUGGCUGGCCUGGUUAUGACCUGGCAGAUUCCCAGGCAGAGGCUCUGCCUGGCCUGAUGGUGCCAAGCUUUUCCCGUCCUGCUCUGGAAGAGCAGAAGGACUCCAACAGCUUUUCUGGGAUGCCUCAACCAGGAGCAGCUUAAUUCCCUUUGAUGAAUUCAUCAGCUCAUGAAGCCAGAGGAAGAU